UCGAGAAUCAUUCACAAUGGGGGAAACCCUGAUGGUGCGACGCCGCGUGGAGGAUGAAGGCCCUAGGGUCGUAAACUCCUGUCAUCAGAGAGUAAGGUUUAUUGGUUAAUACCCUUUAAAUUUGAUAGUAUCUGAAGAGGAAGGGACGGCUAACUUCGUGCCAGCAGCCGCGGUAAUACGAAGGUCCCAAGCGUUGUUCGGAAUUACUGGGCGUAAAGCGUGUGUAGGCGGCGGGGUAAGUCAGAUGUGAAAUCCCAGAGCUCAACUCUGGAACUGCAUCCGAUACUGCCUUGCUAGAGGGCUGGAGGGGGGUCUGGAAUUCUCGGUGUAGCAGUGAAAUGCGUAGAUAUCGAGAGGAACACUAGUGGCGAAGGCGAGACCCUGGACAGAUCCUGACGCUGAGACACGAAGGCUAGGGUAGCGAACGGGAUUAGAUACCCCCGUAGUCC
rnacentral:rRNA from 1 species